UAGGGAAUCUUCGGCAAUGGGGGGAACCCUGACCGAGCAACGCCGCGUGAGUGAAGAAGGUUUUCGGAUCGUAAAGCUCUGUUGUUAAGGAAGAACGAGUGUGAGAAUGGAAAGUUCAUACUGUGACGGUACUUAACCAGAAAGGGACGGCUAACUACGUGCCAGCAGCCGCGGUAAUACGUAGGUCCCGAGCGUUGUCCGGAUUUAUUGGGCGUAAAGCGAGCGCAGGCGGUUAGAUAAGUCUGAAGUUAAAGGCAGUGGCUCAACCAUUGUAGGCUUUGGAAACUGUGUAACUUGAGUGCAGAAGGGGAGAGUGGAAUUCCAUGUGUAGCGGUGAAAUGCGUAGAUAUAUGGAGGAACACCGGUGGCGAAAGCGGCUCUCUGGUCUGUAACUGACGCUGAGGCUCGAAAGCGUGGGGAGCGAACAGG
rnacentral:rRNA from 1 species